rnacentral:rRNA from 1 species
UACGAAGGGGGCUAGCGUUGCUCGGAAUGACUGGGCGUAAAGGGCGCGUAGGCGGCUUGCAUAGUCGGAUGUGAAAUUCCUGGGCUUAACCUGGGGGCUGCAUACGAGACGUAUGGGCUUGAGUGCGGAAGAGGGUCGUGGAAUUCCCAGUGUAGCGGUGAAAUGCGCAGAUAUCGGGAGGAACACCAAUUGCGAAGGCAGCUCGCUGGGACGUUACGUGACGCUGAGACGCGAAAGCGUGGGGAGCAAACAGG